rnacentral:rRNA from 1 species
CAGUCGCCGCGGGAAUACGGAGGGUGCAAGCGUUAAUCGGAAUUACUGGGCGUAAAGCGCACUCAGGCGGUUUGUUAAGUCAGAUGUGAAAUCCCCGAGCUUAACUUGGGAACUGCAUUUGAAACUGGCAAGCUAGAGUCUUGUAGAGGGGGGUAGAAUCCCAGGUGUAGCGGUGAAAUGCGUAGAGAUCGGGAGGAACAUCAGUGGCGAAGGCGGCCAUCUGGGACAACACUGACGCUGAGGCACGAAAGCGUGGGGAGCAAUCAGGAUUAGAUACCCGUGUAGUCCCUGUCUCUUAUAU